ACCAGGAUGGCCAAGUGGUGAAGGUGUUGAACUUAAAAUCUAGCAGAUAUAUGUUUGUGUGGGUUCAAACCCCACUCUGGUA
rnacentral:tRNA from 1 species